rnacentral:rRNA from 1 species
GACGAACGCUGGCGGCGUGCCUAAUACAUGCAAGUUGAGCGCUGAAGGUUGGUACUUGUACCGACUGGAUGAGCAGCGAACGGGUGAGUAACGCGUGGGGAAUCUGCCUUUGAGCGGGGGACAACAUUUGGAAACGAAUGCUAAUACCGCAUAAAAACUUUAAACACAAGUUUUAAGUUUGAAAGAUGCAAUUGCAUCACUCAAAGAUGAUCCCGCGUUGUAUUAGCUAGUUGGUGAGGUAAAGGCUCACCAAGGCGAUGAUACAUAGCCGACCUGAGAGGGUGAUCGGCCACAUUGGGACUGAGACACGGCCCAAACUCCUACGGGAGGCAGCAGUAGGGAAUCUUCGGCAAUGGACGAAAGUCUGACCGAGCAACGCCGCGUGAGUGAAGAAGGUUUUCGGAUCGUAAAACUCUGUUGGUAGAGAAGAACGUUGGUAAGAGUGGAAAGCUCAUCAAGUGACGGUAACUACCCAGAAAGGGACGGCUAACUACGUG